rnacentral:sRNA from 2 species
AUAGUCACUAAGCCAAAUGUGAUCAAAAGACUAUUAGAGCGGAGGAACCAAACAUUGGGGCGCAUUUCUGCUGUAUAAUUAGUUACAACAGCAGCAAGGGACAUCUCUCAGUCCUAGCCCGUCAGCUAACUUCGUAGGCAUUGAGGGAAGAUUGA